rnacentral:lncRNA from 1 species
UGGGAUGUAUGGUCCAUUAAGUAUGGUGGUCCAAAUCUCAUAGUCUUGAGCUUGGAUAAAUAUCCUCAUCCUAGCCUUUCAAUAGGAGUAGUCGGUUCCAUUGAAGAAUGGAGGUCUAUGGGUGGACUGCCCCUCAAUAUGAGAAGAUCCAAAUGGGAUUGUCAUUUUGAUCUUUUACUCUUUUGGUAGAAGAGUUCCGGCUCUGAUACCACUUGUU